CUUGUCCCACAUAAGAGGUCCAGCCUGCCCAGUGACAUUGUUCAACGGCCGCGGUAUCCUAACCGUGCGAAGGUAGCGUAAUCACUUGUUCUUUAAAUGAGGACUAGUAUGAAAGGCACCACGAGAGUCAUGCUGUCUCCUCUUUCUAAUCAGUAAAACUAAUCUCCCCGUGAAGAAGCGAGGAUAAAAAUAUAAGACGAGAAGACCCUAUGGAGCUUUAAACAAAUAACACUUGCCUACUUCCAUAAAAUUUCAGAAAAACCACUCACUCUGGCAUUAUAAUUAUAAGUUUUCGGUUGGGGUGACCACGGAACAAAAAAUAACCUCCGCAAUGAAAUUACUCCAAAGUUAAGGACUACAAUCCUAUUCAUCAACAAAUUGACAUUAAUUGACCCAACAUGUUGAUCAAUGAAC
rnacentral:rRNA from 1 species